GUGGGUAUAGUUCAGUGGUAGAACUCCGGACUGUGGCUCCGGCUGUCGUGGGUUCGAAUCCCACUACCCACCCCA
rnacentral:tRNA from 1 species